UUUCAGCGUAUAAACUACAAAAACAUUCGUUGCAUUAUACGUUCGCCAUUUUACGCAGCGACUGAUCGUUGUGUGUGUUAUCUCUCCGAAAAAAAACCCCGUUUUUACGGUUCUAUUUUUUGUGAGCUUUCUGUUCAUUUCCUAUCAACAACAUGGGCAAAUCGAAGAACACUGCAUCCGCGGGAACAAGAAGUUCCGAGCGUCUGGCUGGGAGACAUAAACCUGCAGCCGAGCCAAUAAAGAAAAAACCUGCUCCAAAAAAGGCACCCAAAGCGAAGAAGGCCAAAGCAGCUGAAAAUGGGAACAACAAGGCUGAGGAGCCAAAGGCCGAAGCCACUGAAGCCAAAUGAAUAACGGUUGAUGUGCUCACUCUGUGUACUUGGUGAUUGUACAGUUUUAAAUAAGUAUUUUUUACCAAGUUUUAUAUUACAAAUGUCAUUUAUAGGUUUGGUUUGGGCUUGCACUUGAUGUAACAACAGUUUGUUGUGUCAUUCAUAUUCAUUUUAUAUCCAUUUAAAAAAAAAAAAAAACGAUUACCGUCCAUAUCUUGUAGACGAGGCAUUUUCGGUUUGUCUAAUCUAAUUUCUUUUUUCUUUUCUUUUCUUUUUUUAUUUAAAGUGCAGAAUAAUAGAUGUGUUCCAACAAGUUGGAAUAUAAAUCUAAUUUUAAACAUUAUGAGGCAGCUAAAGCAUAGCGUUAAAAUUUGACGGAGAAUAGGAAUUGUGCCUUUUAUCUCCUUGUAUUUUAAUGUUAAACUAAUAAGAAAAUGCUUACCAAAUGUUUUGAAACACUGUAUGUUGACAUGAAUUCCAGUCAUGAAAAUACCACAGAAAAAUACUGUUAUUAGGUCAAAAGAUUAAUGCAUCCCAAAAAACAUGUUUGUGAACCUGGUCAUCUGAUGAAAAGUCCUGUUAAGUUAUGUUUGUGUUCUGACUGAAGCUUUUCUGACUUAAAUGGUUGAUCUAAAUGUUCUUGAAUAAAAAUGUCUUCUUGACGUUA